GUCCAGACUCCUACGGGAGGCAGCAGUGGGGAAUAUUGGGCAAUGGGCGAAAGCCUGACCCAGCAAUGCCGCGUGAAUGAAGAAGGUCUUAGGAUUGUAAAAUUCUGUCCUAUGGGAAGAAACAAAUGACGGUACCAUAGGAGGAAGCCCCGGCUAACUACGUGCCAGCAGCCGCGGUAAUACGUAGGGGGCAAGCGUUAUCCGGAUUUACUGGGUGUAAAGGGGGCGCAGACGGCGAUGCAAGCCAGGAGUGAAAGCCCGGGGCCCAACCCCGGGACUGCUCUUGGAACUGCGUGGCUGGAGUGCAGGAGGGGCAGGCGGAAUUCCUGGUGUAGCGGUGAAAUGCGUAGAUAUCAGGAGGAACACCGGUGGCGAAGGCGGCCUGCUGGACUGCAACUGACGUUGAGGCCCGAAAGCGUGGGGAGCAAACAGGAUUAGAUACCCUAGUAGCG
rnacentral:rRNA from 1 species